GUUUCUCCCAUCUAACAAUGUUCUUAUUUCGAAACCCUAUUUCUCUCCCCAUCUUCAUCGCCCCUUGUGGCUAUUAGCUUCAUCUUCAGGAGUCCCUAUUCUAUCGCGAUUUUAGUUUUUACAAUCUUUUUCUUGUCUUCCAUUUUCCGAAUCAAGUAGCAAUUAUUACAAAAUUGCUCCAGUCGUUCUGCUUUCUUUCUAUUACCUUUGGAAAUUUCAGAGAAAGUUUUCCCUCCCUCCAUUUCCCCCUGUCAUCAACCAAGAGCUGAUCUCCAGUCGACAAAUUGGUUACCUACUUGGUAAACUCCAAUGACAAAUAGCGUGAGAGAUCUACAAAACCCAGGCUAAAGGCUGAUCAUAGGUUCAACGAACACUUUGUAAAGGCAAGGUCACCUUUUCCAUCUCCAGAAAUGGAGUCCAGAAACGUUGUCCGGAAACAACCAACAGUACAAAUGCUGCUGAACCAGAUUCUUUAUUACAUUGGUGAUCCAUGUUUUGGUAUCAGUAUAUGUUAUGGAAUCAUUUUAGUGUGUGGAAUGGGAGGAUUGGGCAAGAAAUCUUCUUAUAAACUUUAUGAUAUUAUGAUCAUCGUUAUUACUCAUGCAACUUUAAAUCAAAAGUCACGGGGAAGAAAGAUUAUAAAAAUAUCUAUCCCAGUAUUGAGCCAUUUUUUCCCCCUUCCUCCACGCUCCAGUAACGAGGAGCACUCCGACUUGUCAAACGGACUUGUUUGUUACUUCAGGGCUCUAGAACCACCGGAAUUCAUAACCCGCACGAACAAGUUGGUCACUUCAACAGCUUCCCUCAUACUACUGUUAUACAUCAAUAUGUUCUUAAGAAGAUAACAUAGGGCUUAGGGCUUUAUGAUUAGAACCAGAACCACCGGAAUUUAUAUGACCCUCAGACAAGUUGGCCACUUCAACAGCUUCACUCUUACUACUCCUGGUACGUAGUUUAAUUGUUUGAGGAAAUUUCCUUUUCUUUUUUUCUAACAUGAAAUCAAAUACUCAUAUCACAAAGAUCACAUAAAUGCUUAAAAUAAGAAAAUUUCUUAUAAAUUUUAUGAUAUUACCGUCAUCAUUAUUACUCAUGCAACUUUAAAUCAAAAUUCAUGGAGAAGAAAGAUUAUAAAAA